UUUAUUUGACAUCGGUGGAGGAGUAAAAGCAUUGAUCCAAGUGUACUCUUUUGCUGAAAGAGAGCAGGCAAAGAUUUUUGGUAAUAUCAAGCAAGAAAACCCUAACAACAUUUGAAACAAGAUCUUGCUGCAGUGGGUAUACAAUCAUGAAGAUCACUGGCUGGAUGGUUAAGGUGGAAAGCAACACGACCUUUAGCAAGACUCGCAGAGURUGUGUUAGUACUCCUAUCUGUGUCACCCACAGUAUGACCUGGAUUAGUCUUAAAUUCACUGAACUGAAAUCUGUUUGGGGUUGUAAGUCUUAUGCAGGUAACUUGAUCUUCCAAGUAAGGAGUGACAGUGUUUAUAAAGACUGCAGGCUUCUUAAAAAUCAUCUAGGAAAGCAAUUGUCCCCAGUUAUCUGCAGGUGGGAUUUAUAUCCUCAAAUAUCAAGGGAAUGGAAAACUGAGGCAAAGAAGAGGAAUAAGGAGAGACUGUAUAUGCAGAAAAGUUGGCGCAUCUAUAAGGAUGAUAGAGAACAGCAAAGGGCCUAGCACUGGUGUCACUCCAGCGCAAGCAGCAUAAAGAACUUUAGUGUGGACAGUGCAACGAAAAACAGUCGGAUGCCUUGUAAGGAAGCAGUGAUUGACUGAAAUCUUAGUUGCUGCAAAUAAUUACUGCUGUCCCUGCUGCAAAGAGGAGGUGAACAGAGGUGUUGUGUGAUGUAUUUAGUCAAUGCGGRGCAAAAUAUUGGCUGUUGUGGAAAAUUUUGCAUGUUGUUAACACCUCUUCUAAUAUGAAGAGGUUUGGCAACUCUUAGUAAACUMUAUUAGAAGGAUGUUCAAACUUAAUUCUGUGAGCUUUUCAGGUGAAAAUAUUUCAGAUAAACAGUGAGCUGAGUAUAUUGAGAAUCCAAUUCUUCUUGAAGCCUGUUCAUUUAGAACUGCAGAGCCAGCUUGGGAGUGUCUUUCGCUGACAAACCUUUCCCAGUAGCAGAGAAAAU
rnacentral:lncRNA from 1 species